rnacentral:rRNA from 1 species
AUUGAACGCUGGCGGAAUGCUUUACACAUGCAAGUCGAACGGUAGAGGGGGCAACCCCUCGAGAGUGGCGAACGGGUGAGUAAUAUAUCGGAACGUGCCCAGUCGUGGGGGAUAACGUAGCGAAAGUUACGCUAAUACCGCAUACGAUCUACGGAUGAAAGCGGGGGAUCGCAAGACCUCGCGCGAUUGGAGCGGCCGAUAUCAGAUUAGGUAGUUGGUGGGGUAAAGGCUCACCAAGCCAACGAUCUGUAGCUGGUCUGAGAGGACGACCAGCCACACUGGAACUGAGACACGGUCCAGACUCCUACGGGAGGCAGCAGUGGGGAAUUUUGGACAAUGGACGCAAGUCUGAUCCAGCCAUUCCGCGUGCAGGAUGAAGGCCCUCGGGUCGUAAACCACUGUCAGGAGGAAGAAAAGCCAAUCCGGGUAAUAUUCGGGUGGCCUGACGGUACCUCCAAAGGAGCACCGGCUAACUCCGUG